AUGUAUAUAGUGCAUUAAAUGUAUGUGAGGACAUAUGUAUAUAGUGCAUUAAAUGUAUGUGAGGACAUAUGUAUAUAGUGCAUUAAAUGUAAGUGAGUACAUAUGUAUAUAGUGCAUUAAAUGUAUGUGAGUAUACAUGUUUUAUAUGCGCCUGCUGGAGCCAGGCGGUCCAUAAUGAAGCUGUAAUUAUGCAGGGCAACACACACAGGUUGUGGGCCUCUGAGAGGUGCAGACUCAUUCCUGGGCAAAUGGGAGCCAGCUGGGUUUGAUCUGCCAUCCCACACACACACACACACACACACACACACACACACACACACAAUCUCCUGCGGAAGGCCUCAACCACCCCAGCCCCGUUUAUUUACUCUACUCUCUCUUCUCUUCUCUAUCCUGUCUCUUCCUCCCUCCUGCUUUUCAGUCUCUCACUCUUCUGUCCUCAACUCCUUCCCCUCGAUUUUACCACUCUUUCCCCUAUCUUUCAUCAUCCUUCCCUCACUCCCUCCCAUCGUGGUGAAGUAGGUAUACAUGGACUCCCCUAAGCAGUCAGCCGCUGCCUGCUAACAGUGACCACAGCAGCAGUUCUGAUCUACUGCACCUCUACUCACUAUUUAUCAUCCCCAUACAUUUAGUUCUCAAAUAAGAUACACAACUUCAAGCCACACACUUCAUGACCCCCUCUUCUCUUUCUUUCUCUCUCGCUACUCUUCCUCCCAUCUGGACCAUAAGACUCCUACUCUCAUCAGAAACACACAGGGAAGGGGAAACACAUUAGACUACAUUAUAGAGUGAGACAGAUCCUGUUCAAACAGCUUUUCAGAGUGUUUGUUUGUAGAGGAGCCAGAAGGUCCAGGAGAGAGUUCUGAGCAGACGCCGCGCCUCUACCGCAGGCGCCGCGCCUCUACCGCAGGCGCCGCGCCUCUACCGCAGGCGCCGAGUCUCUACCGCAGGCGCCGCGUCUCUACACCAGGCGCCGCGCUCUACCGCAGGCGCCGAGUCUCUACCGCAGGCGCCGCGUCUCUACACCAGGCGCCGCGCUCUACCGCAGGUGCUAUGUCUCUACUACAGACGCCAUGUUGUUUCUCUGUGGUUUAUAAAAACCCAAGGUGCCUUACUCGCUCAUAUUUUCUACUUUUUUAACAGCUCUCUGUUGGGAGAACUUUAAAAGCCAUCUUUAAAACUACUGUAAACGUCUGCUUUUACGGAAAAGAUUGGUUCCGUUGUCCGUAACCACAUUUUGCAGUAUAUUCUUUAACUGUGUUGUUGCAAAAUCAAAUGUAUUACCACACUCUCGUUGGGUGUUAACUUUGCUAAAAAAGGUUUCUGGGAAGCUGUGUCUGUCACUACUUCCGCCGAAGGCGUCACCGGUUUUUUAGUCGGCUCCUCUCCUUGUUCGGGCGGCGUUCGGCGUCACCGGCUUUCUAGCCAUCGCCGCUCCAUUUUUCAUGUAUCCAUUUGUUUUGUCUUGUUCCCUGCACACCUGGUUUUCAUUCCCCAAUCAAUCUACAUGUAUUUAUUCCUCUGUUCCCCAUCAUGUCAUUGUGUGAGAUUGUUUGUGUUAUGUGUGUAUUGUUGACCAGACCGGCUUGUUUUUUCCGUGUUAUUUUUCACGAAGAUGUUUAUUGUUAAACAUAAUUCUUGUGACUGUUUUGCACUUUUGCCUAAAUAAAGUGUGUGCCUGUUCACAAAUCUCUGCUCUCCUGCACCUGACUUCGCUACCAGUACGCACACAUCUGACAGUGUCCUUACAAACAGUACACAUGAACUACAACACAGCAGCCAUUUUCAAGGUGAGAAUGCCUGCACUGUUAUUUCCUCUUUCCUUUAUAUUUUAGUGAGCAAAAUCCAAUACUCUCAACUAAAAUCCAUAUUUGACUUUUGAGACAUCUCAAACAACAUGGUAGAAGUAAACAUGUUUACACAGAGAAACUAAUCAUCAUCAUUAUUAUUAAUAUCAAAGCCAGCAAAACAACAUGCUAGGAUAAAUAGGAAAAGUGUUUGUGUUCUCACUGCGAGUGUUGACCUGGAUGUGAGCAGGAUCAUAGAAGAGGGGAAAUGCUUCCUCUACACCCCGUCUCUCCCCCGCUCACACACUGCCCCAUAUACAGAGACACACACUCCCUGUGUCCCUCCUCCGCAUGUGGAAGACAUUUCAAAGGCAGCGGCCCCCAUGCUGCUUCCAUUAUAGUCAAUCAGAGCCUGAACCAGAUAUUAAAGCACUAGCCAGGGGAGCCGCCGUCAAUACACUGACUGUUCUCUGUGUGUGUGGUUCUGAAGUAUGUGUGUCUGAAAUUCAGUGGCAUCUAUUGUUCACUCUAUUGUUGUAUCAUUAUUUCUAUCUAUACUGAACAGAAAUAUGAACACAACAUGUAAAGUGUUGGUCCCAUAGUUCAAGAGCUGUAAUAAAAGAUCCCAGAAAUUUUCUGGAGGCACAAGAAUAUUAUUUUGCUAAAAUUUUGUGCACACAUUUGUUUAUAUCCCUGUUAGUGAGCCUUUCUCCUUUGCCAAGAUAAUCUGACAAUUGUGGCAUAUCAAAAAGCUGAUUAAACAGCAUGAUCAUUACACAGGUGCACCUUGUCCUGGAGGCAAUAAAAAUAUGCAGUUUUGUCACAACACAAUGCCACAGAUGUCUCAAGUUGUGAGGGAGCGUGCAAUUGGCAUGCUGAGUGCAGGAAUGUCCACCAGAGCUAUUGCCAGAUAAUUGAAUGCUAAUGUCUCUACCAUAAGCCGUAACCAACGUCAUUUUAGAGAAUUUGAUAGUAUGCCCAACCAGCAUCACAACCACAGACCACAUGUAACCAUGGUAGCCCAGGACCUCCACAUCCGGCUUCUUUACCUGAGAGACUGUCUGAGACCAGCCACCCGGACAGCUGAUGAAACUGAGGAGUAUUUCUGUCUGUAAUAAAGCCCUUUUGUGGGGAAAAACUACAUUCUCAAAAACCCCUGCCCAGUCAUGUGAAAUCCAUAGAUUAGGGCCUAAUGAUUCUAUUCCAAUUGACUGAUUUCCUUAUAUGAACUGUAAGUCAGUAAAAUCAUUGAAAUUGUUGCAUUUAUAUUUUUGUUCAGUAUAUCAGCAUUCUAUCAAUAAUUCUAUCGUUCUUUUUAUCUAUCCUGUACCAGUUCUUAUGGUUUCUCGUAGACAUGAGGGUUAAACACCAAAACAAAUGGGUUGUGCCUCCAAGCCCUUGUCUGCCCUUAGUAAGCCACCACCAUUGGACCAAAACAAAUCUGAACCCAAUAUCAAAUGUGACUAGAGCCAAUUCUAUGCUGGCACUCAUGCCAAACCCCCAAACCGUGAAGUGAUUUCCGAGAUCUGAGAAUGAUGAAUCUCUAAUUCAAAUCAGACCAAAGUAAUCAAGCAAUGCUGGAGCUAGCUGUGUAUACACACACAUGUUGGUGUGUGUCUGUGUGUGCGUGUGUGUGUUUGUGUGUGUGUUCGCGUGUGCGUGCAUUAGUAAUGUGGGAAAAUUCAACACAGAUACAUAUCGGGAUAUUAUUUUUGACUCGAUGGGGAGGAGGAUGGGGUGGUGAUGGGUCAUUGGAGCAGCACAAACUUCCAGUUUGGACUGUUUGUUAUGUAGAUGUACAAAGGAGUGAAGAUGGAUGCCGUUUAAAUACUAUGAGGGUGGUUGAUUCAUCAAGAGUGAGGCGGAUUUGUGGUUAAUGAAGAUUGGAUGCAGGUGAGCAAAUUAGAGAAUGACCGAUAAUCGGUUGGGCCAAUAUUUGUUACCGAUAUUAGCCUUUCCUUGACUAUCGAUGCAGCCGAUGUCCCCUACGUAGUAUGAGCACACUAGCCCCUUGUGUAAAAUGUUGCAAACUGGUGAGGAACAUCUGGCUGGACUGCAUCUUGUUAGCUAACCACUCAUGCUGGAUAUAUUUUAGCUUAAGGACACUUGAUUGAUGACACACGGCAUGUAUACAUUUUGAAAGUGUUCAAGGAACGGUUCGAGGAACAGAACCGAAAAGUAGAAUAUUUUUAAAGGACCAGUGAUCCAUACUGUUCUGGAAAAGAACCGUUAUUUUUAUGGGAACCGGUUAGUAAUGUUCCUUUAUGUAACAGACAUUUUUUUCUAGUCCCACAACAAAAUGCAGUAAAGCGCCUAUGCAAAGCCCUCACUGAAACUUAUUCCAGUGUCUGCCUGCAAGCUGGAAAUCUUUACCUGUGUGUGUUUAAGCACAGAGAAGAAUGGAUGAACCUUUUCAAUGCUAGUUAGGGCUACUAUAGGCCUAGUUAUCACGUAGGAUUUAUUAACUACAAAAAGGUAAGAUGUAUUUUACAUUUUGCUACCACUCUGCACACACACAAGCUGGUUAGCUAGCUGCUCAAAAGGACAUUCAAAGUUCGUCCAUAUUGGCCAAUCCUCCUAGGUAUAAUUCUGUGUAACUAAUUAAUAUAAUGCAUGUGAUAACUAGAUGCCCAGUGAUUCAAGCCUCCUCAACCCUCUCUCGCUCUCUCCACACUUGUACAAUUUCAGUUGCAUCUUGCGCCAUAGGCUACACUUGUUUGUCCAUCACACAUGUAAACAACUAGCUUGCCUGCUCUAUCCACACUGAUUGGUGAAGUAAUUCAAUUAGCUAAAAAUGUUUUACAAAAUAGUUGACUUCAUAGGUUAAAAAAUAGAAAAUAACAAUAUAAAGCUGUACUUUUUUGGGGUUCAAACCCGUUCAGAACUUUAUUUUGCUGGUCGGAACAGUGGAACGAAACAAAAAAGAUUGUGGUUCUGUUCAGAACUAAACUAUUGAAAAUGAUUUUGCUUCCAACCCCUGAUGUCCAUAUAUAGGCUACAGGACAUUACAAAACAACAUACUGGCCGCCAGCUAGCUAGAAAAUUUGAGGCUAAGGUCAGCUCAACUACUUUAUUUGUUAUAACACAUAGCAACACAUAGCAAGCCGAUUGUCUCCAAAAAUGUUCACUGGGUUAAAUGACUCGUAUUCUCUUAGUUGACAAAUUGUUGCAUGUAAGAGAGGAGGAGUGUCUUGAGAGUGACUGGUCUGAGACAGUCUUAAAGAGACAGCACACUUUAUGAAAAAGAGAUCAGGCUACUUCUAUGCAAAUGUUGUUGAGGCAAAUAUAAUAGUCUAAUAUAAGUCCCAAAAUGAAGGUAAACUGUGUGAUUGUUUGUCAUCUGUAGCACCAUAGAUUCCACUGAAAUCAGCCAAGACAAGCUCAAUAACUCAAUGCAUGCACACACUCCUAUUGAAUAUGCAUUCACCUGUAUUGUGAGUAGGUCUAUGGCAUCUUGAUUUCACCCAGCUCUCACAGCCUCACGUCACAAUGAGACGUCCAGCCAUGUUUCUCAAAAGUCACAUUUUAUAAGUUGUUCCAAACAAGUAUUUAAAGUUAAGUUUAGGCAUUAACUCCAAAUUCUUAAGGUUAGGAAUACACUCCGGAUGGUUAAGGUAAGGGUUAAGGAUUGGGAUAGGCUUCAAACGAAAAUAACUUGCAAUCUGCCAUCAUCGUCCGCAAUGCCCUAGCAAAACUGAAACCUACUUGAAGGUAACAGCGCUCACUGUUGCCCAGUGGCCAGUUUCCACGUCAUCUCCCGACAUCCUCAGACAUGGAUGGAUGUCGAAUACUGACUUGUGUCAGUUGUGUCCUGUGCACGUGGCGAAUACACUUAGAAACUUAUGUAGUUAGAUUGUCUCUGGGAAAUUUUGUCAUCACCAUUUUCAAAUGUAAUGAUAUUGAAUAACGGCAUAAAAUAUCAGCCUUAAAAAAAUAAAAAAACAUUUUUAAAGAAGUUCCUGCUGUGUCGUCUGAAGCUUAAAGCUCCCCUCCCCAAAACUGUGUUAUAAACUACACACAAGAGCGGCAAUACACAGGAAUAUCACCCUAUCACAGUAAAGCUGGACCAUGUGGAUGAUAUAAACAUGAGCUAGCAAACUCUGUAACGUGUCAAAUUUGGCCAAAGAAGAGAGAGACUCUAUUACUCUGACUCCAUGAGGGGUCUAUCCUGAUGUAUCAGUGGGUAGGUUGUUGCUCUGACUCCAUGAGGGGUCUAUCCUGAUGUAUCAGUGGGUAGGUUGUUGCUCUGACUCCAUGAGGGGUCUAUACUGAUGUAUCAGUGGGUAGGUUGUUGCUCUGACUCCAUGAGGGGUCUAUACUGAUGUAUCAGUGGGUAGGUUGUUGCUCUGACUCCAUGAGGGGUCUAUCCUGAUGUAUCAAUGGGUAGGUUGUUGCUCUGACUCCAUGAGGGGUCUAUCCUGAUGUAUCAGUGGGUAGGUUGUUGCUCUGACUCCAUGAGGGGUCUAUCCUGAUGUAUCAGUGGGUAGGUUGUUGCUCUGACUCCAUGAGGGGUCUAUCCUGAUGUAUCAGUGGGUAGGUUGUUGCUCUGACUCCAUGAGGGGUCUAUCCUGAUGUAUCAGUGGGUAGGUUGUUGCUCUGACUCCAUGAGGGGUCUAUCCUGAUGUAUCAGUGGGUAGGUUGUUGCUCUGACUCCAUGAGGGGUCUAUACUGAUGUAUCAGUGGGUAGGUUGUUGCUCUGACUCCAUGAGGGGUCUAUCCUGAUGUAUCAAUGGGUAGGUUGUUGCUCUGACUCCAUGAGGGGUCUAUACUGAUGUAUCAAUGGGUAGGUUGUUGCUCUGACUCCAUGAGGGGUCUAUUUAUUUAUUUUUUUAUUUCACCUUUAUUUAACCGGUUAGGCUAGUUGAGAAAAAGUUCGCAUUUACAACUGCGACCUGGCCAAGAUAAAGCAAAGCAGUGCGACAGAAACAACAACAGCCUUGUCUCAGGAUGGUAAGUUGGUAGUUGAAGAUAUCCCUCUAGUGGUGCGGGGGCUGUGCUUUGGCAAAGUUGGUGGGGUUAUAUCCUUCCUGUUUGGCCCUGUCUGGGGUUGUCCUCAGAUGGGGCCACAGUGUCUCCUGACCCCUCCUGUCUCAACCUCCAGUAUUUAUGCUGCAAUAGUUUGUGUCGGGGGGCUAGGGUCAGUUUGUUAUAUCUGGAGUACUUCUCCUGUCCUAUCCGGUGUCCUGUGUGAAUUUAAGUGUGCUCUCUCUAAUUCUCUCUUUCUUUCUCUCUCUCGGAGGACCUGAGCCCUAGGACCAUGCCUCAGGACUACCUGACAUGAUGACUCCUUGCUGUCCCCAGGCCACCUGGCCGUGCUGCUACUCCAGUUUCAACUGUUCUGCCUUAUUAUUAUUGGACCAUGCUGGUCAUUUAUGAACAUUUGAACAUCUUGGCCAGGUUCUGUUAUAAUCUCCACCCGGCACAGCUAGAAGAGGACUGGCCACCCCACAUAGCCUGGUUCCUCUCCUGGGUUUUGGCCUUUCUAGGGAGUUUUUCCUAGCCACUGUGCUUCUACACCUGCAUUGCUUGCUGUUUGGGGUUUUAGGCUGGGUUUCUGUACAGCACUUUGAGAUAUCAGCUGAUGUACGAAGGGGUAUAUAAAUACAUUUUAUUUUAUUUUAUUUGAACACAGAGUUACACAUGGAAUAAACAAGUGUACAGUCAAUAACACAAUACAAAAAAAGAACAUCUAUAUACAGUGUGUGCAAAUGGCAUGAGGAGGUAAGGCAAUAAAUAGAUCAUAGGAGCAAAGUAAUUACAAUUAAGCAGAUAGAUUAACACUGGAGUGAUAGAUGAGCAGAUGAUGAUGUGCAAGUAGAGAUACUGGUGUGCAAAAGAGCAGAAAAGUAAAUAAAAACAAUAUGGGGAUGAGGUAGGUAGAUUGGGUGGGCUAUUUACAUAUGGACUAUGUACAGCUGCAACAAUCGGUUAGCUGCUCAGAUAGCUGAUGUUUAAAGUUACUGAGGGGAAUAUAAGUCUCCAGCUUCAGAGAUUUAUGUAAUUCGUUCCAGUCACUGGCAGCAGAGAACUGGAAGGAAAGGUGGCCAAAGUAGGUGUUGGCUUUGGGGAUGACCAGUGAGAUAUCCUUGCUGGAGCGCGUGCUAUGGGUGGCUGUUUUUAUCGUGACCAGUGAGCUGAGAUAAGGCUGAGCUUUACUUAUCAUAGACUUAUAGAUGAUCUGGAGCCAGUGGGUCUGGCGACGAAUAUGUAGCGAUGCCAGCCGACUAGAGCAUACAGGUCGCAGUGGUGGGUGGUAUAAGGCGCUUUGGUAACAAAACGUAUGGCAUUGUGAUAGACAACAUCCAAUUUGCUGAGUAGAGUAUUGGAGCUAUUUUGUAGAUGGCGUCGCCGAAAUCGAGGAUCGGUAGGAUAGUCAGUUUUACUAGGGUUGGUUUGGCGGCGUGAGUGAAGGAGGCUUUGUUGCGAAAUAGAAAGCCGAUUCUAGAUUUGAUUUUGGAUUGGAUAUGUUUAAUAUGAAUCUGGAAGAAGAGUUUACAGUCUAGCCAGACACCUAGGUAUUUAUAGUUGUCCACAUAUUCCAGGUCAGAUCCGUCCAGAGUACUGAUGCUAGUUGGGCGGGCAGGUGUGGGCAGCGAAUGGUUGAAAAGCAUGCAUUUGGUUUUACUAGCGUUUAAGAACAGUUGGAGGCCACGGAAGGAGAGUUGUAUAGCAUUGAAGCUCAUCUGGAGGUUAGUUAACACAGUGUGCAAAGAAGGACCAGAUGUAUACAGAAUGGUGUCGUCUGCAUAGAGGUGGAUCAGGGAAUCACCCGCAGCAGGAGCAACAUCAGUGAUAUAUACAGAGAAAAGAGUCGGCCCGAGAAUUGAACCCUGAGAUCCCCAUAGAGACUGCCAGAGGUCCGGACAACAGGCCCUCCGAUUUGACACACUGAACUCUGUCUGCGAAGUAGUUGGUAAACCAGGCGAGGCAGUCAUUUGAGAAACCAAGGCUAUUGAGUCUGCCGAUAAGAUUGGCUGAGAGUGUUGACAACAUGUAAACUAUACAUCUUUAAAAAAAAAAAUAUAAAAAAAAAAGAUGAUAUCUAAUUGGUAGUUACAGUCUUGUCCCAUCACUGCAACUCCUCUAUGGACUCGGGAGAGGCAAAGGUCGACAGCCAUGUGUCCUACGAAACACAACCCUGUCAAGCCGCACUGCUUCUUGACACACUGCUCGCUUAACCCGGAAGCCAGCCGCACCAAUGUGUCGUAGGAAAUACUGUCCAGACAGUGACUGAAGUCAGCUUACAGGCGCCUGGCCCACCGCGAUGCAGUACCUUAGACUGCUGCGCCACUCAGGAGGCCCCCUGUAAACUAUAUUUUGUCUCCAAAUGUUUAUUGAAACCAUAAAUAAACAUGCACAAUGAGCAUUUGUUCUCUCUCAAAUACAUUGUUACAGUUGUUGAUUAGUGUUACGACUUCGGCCGAAGUCAAUGCCUCUCCUUGUUCGGGCGGCGUUCGGCGGUCGGCGUCGCCGGGCUUCUAGCCAUCAUCGAUUUACUUUUCAUUUUCCAUUUGUCUUGUCUUCCCACACACCUGGUUUCAGUUCCAUCAUUACAUGUUGUGUAUUUAACCAUCUGUUCCCCCCCAAGUCCUUGUCCGGAAUUGUUUAUUGUAAGUGCAUGUGCACGUAUGCUGGUGUGUGACAGGUUUUGUUACCCAUUGUUCAGUGUAAGUGCAUGUGCACGUAUGCUGGUGUGUGACAGGUUUUGUUACCCAUUUGUUACCCAUUGUUUAUUGUAAGUGCAUGUGCACGUAUGCUGGUGUGUGACAGGUUUUGUUACCCAUUGUUUAUUGUAAGUGCAUGUGCACGUAUGCUGGUGUGUGACAGGUUUUGUUACCCAUUGUUUAUUGUAAGUGCAUGUGCACGUAUGCUGGUGUGUGACAGGUUUUGUUACCCAUUGUUUAUUGUAAGUGCAUGUGCACGUAUGCUGGUGUGUGACAGGUUUUGUUACCCAUUGUUUAUUGUAAGUGCAUGUGCACGUAUGCUGGUGUGUGACAGGUUUUGUUACCCAUUGUUUAUUGUAAGUGCAUGUGCACGUAUGCUGGUGUGUGACAGGUUUUGUUACCCAUUGUUUAUUGUAAGUGCAUGUGCACGUAUGCUGGUGUGUGACAGGUUUUGUUACCCAUUGUUUAUUGUAAGUGCAUGUGCACGUAUGCUGGUGUGUGACAGGUUUUGUUACCCAUUGUUUAUUGUAAGUGCAUGUGCACGUAUGCUGGUGUGUGACAGGUUUUGUUACCCAUUGUUUAUUGUAAGUGCAUGUGCACGUAUGCUGGUGUGUGACAGGUUUUGUUACCCAUUGUUUAUUGUAAGUGCAUGUGCACGUAUGCUGGUGUGUGACAGGUUUUGUUACCCAUUGUUUAUUUGUUCUAUUUUAC